GGCGAGGAGACGGCGGAAGGCCAUGGCUGCUGGCGGGCUGCUCUGGCCGCGGCUCAUCUUGUUUGGAGACUCCAUCACUCAGGUAGAAAAGGGAUCCUUUGAGAAUGGAGGAUGGGGUGCUGCGAUUGCAAACAGACUUGUUAGGAAAUGCGAUGUGUUGAAUCGAGGUUUAUCAGGAUAUAACACGAGAUGGGCUCUGACUGUUAUGCCAAAGAUUAUUACUCAACCUCCUGACCAAAGCACCAUUGCAGCUGUUGUAAUUUUUUUGGGAGCUAAUGACUCUGCUUUGAAAGAUGUCAACCCGGUGCAGCACAUUCCUCUGACUGAAUAUGCCGAAAAUCUGAAACACUUAAUUCAGUACCUGAAAUCUAUAGGUAUUUGUGAAGAAAAGGUGAUCCUGAUAACCCCACCUCCGCUGGAUGAGUCAGCCUGGGAAAAGGCAUGCAUUGCCAAAGGUAAUAAAUUGGACAGAUACAAUUCAGUAACCAAGGAGUAUGCUCAGGCUUGUGUCAAAGUAGCAACAGAAUGUGGAACUGGUGUGCUUGAUCUCUGGACUUUGAUGCAAAUUGGGGACUUUUCCUCCUAUCUUUUGGAUGGACUACAUUUAUCAGAAAAAGGAAGCAGAUUUCUUGAAACACACUUGUGGCCUAUGCUGGAAAAGAGAACAGAAAAUCUGCCAAUGAUCUUCCCAUACUGGAGGGAUAUAGAUCACCUGAACUGCCAAGCCAGUCUAUUGCUAUAAUUUAACAAGGCAAGGUCAUUUCUGUAAUUGGGGUGGAUGGCCUGUGUCGUCAGAAGUACAACAAAUACUCCACGGACUACACUGGUGAAAACUCAAAACUGUGCAACACUGAAAGACCCAAGCAGCAGCACCAGUUUGACUAUCCUUUUGGCCAUUGGUUUUACUAAUAGAGCCCAGUACAAGAAAUAUAUCAGGCAUCCUCACUGAAGAGUAUCAGUUCUGUUUCAAGGACACCUGUCUCUGUCUUUAUUCCAACGAAACCCAGUAAAAGGACAAGUGAACCAGGGUGGAGGCAUUGUUGGCAAGGAAAAGCAUUCACUUCUCAUCAUUGACAAGAUGAGCUGCUUUCUUGUACAUUGCUGUUGGGUGGGAGUUCCAAAAUUUAGAGCCAGAGACAAUGAAUGAAUAUUCAUCAGGACCGUCUUCAGCUUAGAAAUAAACCUGCAUGUCCAGGUUCUUCUUGGUGGAAGCAGUCAACUGUUUAGGAAGAUCUGUUGAAGUAGCCUUGGCAAGUAACUGAUUUAUAUUUUUAUAAAUGCCCUUAUGUAGGGUUGGUGGAGACAAUACCAAUCAACCAAACUUCCUUGUCCUGGAUGGUACCAAGCUUCUUCAAAUAUUUGAAGUUGCAAUUAUCUGAACAAGUGGGGAGUAAUUUCCUUCAUUCAACUGUCAGGUGCCUAGUAGACAGAAAAAAAGGCUUAGGGUGGUCAAGAGUCAAGUCUCUUUCAGCAGGAUGCCAAGCCUCUGAUUGCUCUUGUCACCACAGCAUUUACAUGGUUGGUCCAACAAAACAUCAAGGGUAGAUUUUAAUCUCUCUCCAGUUGGACACAUUCAUUGUCUGGCACAUGUGUGACAUGAAAGUCAUUUGAAUCAAUCACCAUGUCUGAAUGUCGUUGAGUCUGAGCUUCAUUUUAUGAGGAGUUGCAGAUGUUCUACCUUCUGACCUUAUGACAGAAGGAGCUUCACUGAUGAUCUACACAUGUUACAUUUACCCAAAGAAAUGUUUGAGUAUAAGUAUUCAAUAGCCUGUGAGAGGCAUUACAACUAAUAUGUUCUUUAUAACAGCAAAAAGGGAAAAUUUCUGUAAAAAAUGUUAUUCUAAAAUACAUAGUUCGUUUAACCCAUCACCCAUUUACAAUGUUUUAAAAAGUAAGAAAUAAUGUCUGAAAUUUGUUUAUAAAUAGACACUAGGACAAAGUUGUAAACAUUAAGGAUUAGGAAACUGAAUGGAGAGAUUUGCAAAUAUUUUAUUCUGAUGAAGUGCUCAUGUAUAUUUGUAUUCUUGAAACUUACAGAUACUCUAUGGUUUUGUAGGCUUGAUUCACAGACACAGGGAGAUGAAUAAGUUGCCUCACACAUAUAUUGAAAUAAAGAUUUCCAAUUAUUAUGCCAAAUUCUUGGAAUUGGAACUGGUUUAUUAUUGUCACAUGUACCAAGAUACAGUGAAAAGUUUGUCUCAUACACUGUUCAUGAAGAUCAGAUCAUUACACAGUUCUUUAAGGUAAAACAAGGUCUACCUGUAGCAAUGCAAAAUAAAGUGUAACAACUACAGAGAAAGUACAGUGCAAGUAAACAAUAAGGUGCAAGAUCAUAACAACAUUGACUGUGAGGUCUUUUUGUACUAAAGACAAGACAAAAUCUGCAGACGCUGGAAAUCCAAGCAACACACACAAAAUGCUGGAGGAACUCAGCAGGCCAGACAGCAUUAUGGAAAAAAGUACAGUCGACGUUUUGGCCGAAAACAUCAAUUGUACUGUUUUCCAUAGACGCUGCCUGGCUUGUUGAGUUCCUGCAGCAUUUUGUCUGUUAUUGAACAAGAGAACUAUUUCCAUAGUCUUAUACUUGUCAAUUUUUCUUAAUGUGAAUUAAGUGAAAGGUAACAAAUUAGGAUAAACUCAUUCUAUUAUUUAGCUCUAGCAAAACAACAGCAUUUUAUAAGUUAUUUUACUUAAUCUACGGUUAACACUUUUAAAAUGUACAUAUUGAACAUCAAUUCACAGCUGCAGAAACAAAUUUUAUUCAGUUCUUUCAAGAGGCGCAGGAACAAAAGAAUGUAGGAGAAUACAAACGUUGUGUG